rnacentral:misc_RNA from 1 species
GUCUUUCCCCAUGGUAAUUGGAGCUGCAGUUUAAGUUUCCUGUCUUUAUUUCCUCUUUAGUUUUCGCUGUUCAUAUUUCUUAUUUUCUGCUAUCAUUUGAAUCUUCCUACAACUAGUAAUACCAUUUGCAUAUAUUGAUUUUUCCUUUUCAUUGUGAAUUGGGAUUUUGCAUUGCAAGAUUAUUCAACUGAGUUUAUCUAUCCUAGGCUAUUAAGCAAAUUUUAGAGUAAUUUUUCAGAUUUUUGAGGACCCAUUACCUCACUGGAAGCGAAUGAUAAUCAAUUUAGUUUCUUUACAUUAACAACUGCAGACUUGUAGUUAAUAUGACUUUUUUAAUGAAGCAUCUGUAAAAUUUUGAAGAUUUAGGCAAUCUUGUUGCUUAAUUUGUAAUUUCCUUUUUCCUUUUCAAUCACAUUUCAUUUCACAUUGUUAGUUAAUUUCUAAGAUAUACUUAUUAUGUUACCUAUCAAAAGAACCCAAUAUUAUAAACUUCAAUGAUAUUUAUGACUUACAUAUUGUGGAAAUGAAGAGUUUCACUAUGAUGUUUACUGGUAGUACAUAGCAUGAAUGGUUUCAACUCGAAUUCCUCCUUUCUUUUUUUCUGUUGAUGUUGUCUGUAAACUGUUAGUCGCAUAACUUUUCUGUUUUUCAUUAAGUGUUAACUUCAUCAGCACAUGUAAAGUUAUAUGUUGCACAUGUUCAAAACACCUUAACUGGUCUUCCCUCAACCUUUUUCCAUUAGUGCUACAUGCAUUACAUGAAAGCAUAUAAUUUCCAUUCAUGAUGCCUUCAGUUCAGCCAUGCUCAUCUUUAAUCUAUAUAUGUUGUUUCUUUAUUGCCUAGUGUUCUUUGAAGUAGAGCUUAUCACCAUCUCAUAAAAUUUUUACUGGAACUUGAUGCACAUUAUGCAGUGGCGUAACACAUCAGGAGUGGUCCUCUAUUUCCUCUGACUUGCUCUAAUUCUAUAGUGUUGGCUUUAUCCAGCAAAAGUAAAUAUUAAUUCAUAUUUCCUUUUCGAUAGUAGCGUAAGAUUGCUUUUGACUUCAAAAUAAAACAGCUUUUAUUUGUAUCCCUUUCAAAGUUAUGGUAUCCUUGUGCAAGUAAUGGUAUCCUUGUGCAAGAUAUGAAAUUGUUGAAAACAUUGCAUACAACACUCCUUUCAACAGGCAUUGUGUUAAGAAGAUUGAAGAAAAUGAGAUCAUGCAUACAACACUCCUUAUAGUUAUAUUUUUCCUGGACUUUUGCAAGGUUUGGGUUUGGCAUAUUUUAGCUGUUAUGCUCUUGCUCAUCUGAGCUCUAUCUGUUGUACAUAUUUUGUUAGAUGUUCUACAUAGGUGUGUAAAGAAGAUACUGAUAUAUACAGUUAGAAAUACAUCUCAUUUUAUUGAAUCUGAAAUAGAUUCAUUUAGAUAAUCAGUGCUACAGCAGUGAUUGUUGAGGCAGAUUCAUCCAUACUCCAUUCGGCCGUUACAAACUCAGCAAAAUAUCAGUUGGGAGAUUGAAGCAAUCAGGGCCUUGUUUCCUUUAUUUUCCCCUGCUUUUCUUCUCGAUUGUUAAUAGGAAGGCAAAUAGAGUGGCUGACUGUGUUGCUAAGUAUAGCCUUAAUGGGCAGCUUUCUUGUGAUUGGCUGGCCUCAGUUCCUUCGGAACUGGAGUUUCUGUUAUUCUCUGAUGCCUUUUCAGCAGUUUAAUGCAAUGUUUUUGCAGU